rnacentral:rRNA from 1 species
UACAGAGGGGGCAAGCGUUGUUCGGAAUUACUGGGCGUAAAGGGCGCGUAGGCGGCCUUCUAAGUCGAACGUGAAAUCCCCGGGCUCAACCCGGGAACUGCGUCCGAUACUGGAAGGCUUGAAUCCGGGAGAGGGAUGCGGAAUUCCAGGUGUAGCGGUGAAAUGCGUAGAUAUCUGGAGGAACACCGGUGGCGAAGGCGGCAUCCUGGACCGGUAUUGACGCUGAGGCGCGAA